rfam:Gorilla gorilla gorilla genomic chromosome, chr19, whole genome shotgun sequence
GCUGGGUGUGGUGGCGCAUGCCUGUAAUCCCAGCUACUUGGGAGGCUGAGGUAGGAGAAUCGCUUGAACCUGGGAGGCAGAGGGUGCAGUGAACUGAUAGUGAGCCACUGCACUCCAGCCUGGGCAACAGAGCGAGACUCCAUCUCGA